CGGCGUGUAGCUCAGCCAGUCAGAGCACCGGGCUCUUAACCCGGAGGGCGCGGGGGCGGAACCCGCCACGCCGG
rnacentral:tRNA from 1 species